UGGAGGACUGAGAAGGUGGAGCAGUUCUGUACCGUGCUGCCUUCCAUUGGUUAAGACCUCCAACAGUAAAGGGCUGGCCGGCCAAAGAAUGUCCUCUCUAUCACCGUGGAGGGGCAGCACUGAGCUGGCCCACAUUGU
rnacentral:snoRNA from 7 species